CAUUGCCACUAGGGGAGCCCAUAACGUGGGGCUGAGACCGGAGUAUGCUCCGGGACCCUUGGAACCUGAUCUGGUUUGAACCAGCGGAGGGAAGUGGGAGAUUCUUAAU
rnacentral:ncRNA from 2 species